AGAAGAGUGGUCCAACAAAAGUAGGCGCCCAUAUCAUCGGCCAGCGGCGUUCCCACGACGGCGGCGAGCGAAACCGCAUAGGCCGGCAACUGGCAGGCGACGUUGACCAGCAUCGAGUCGAUGGGCAUGCGCGACGCGGCAAUGAGUCGCUCAAAGACGACACCGCCGCCGGCAAAGGGCACCACGGCGACAAAAUAACCGACGCCGCUCACAAUGAGAAAGGCCAACGGCGCUAUGGUACCGGCCACGCCCAGAGCGCCCGCCGUCGUCAUGAGCGCGGCAGACACCAGGCCCAGCGAGGUCACAACGAGAAAGGCCUUUCGGUGGCCGCCGAUGAGGCCAAAGGGCGCGUAAAAUAGACAUGCACCGAUGCAGGCCGGCACGUCGGCCAGAAUCCAGUGCCACCACGGGGCGUCGGCGCCCAAGAGGUCGGCGGCAAAGACGUCGCGGACGACGCGCACCGACUGGAGCACGGCGUUGGAGGCCGACAUACCGGCCAGCGGCGCCCAGUGCCGCCAGAGCCAGGCGCGGUCUGCCGCUGCCGACACAGUCACGCGGCGCAUGCGCGUGCGUUGAUCAACCUCGUUGGGUGGCGGACUGGCUCCCAAGGCCACGGCGCCGGCGAUCAUGGGCGCCAACAAGAGCAGACUCACUACAGUCGGCAUCCAUCGAUAGAGUUGUUGGCUGUCGUGACCGUCAAGGUUAUGGACACUGUCCAAACAAUCAUUGUCGUCGGCCGCGCACACGCCGAGGACAUGGCGACCGACGAGGGGCGAAAAGGCCCGCGACAGGGGUGCCGACAAGAGCAUGCACGCCGUGGCGAUGGGCAUAAUCACGUCGGACGCGCGUCGCCCCUGUGCAUAGUCGAUGUAGGCGCAAAAGGCCCACGAGAAAAAGAGCGACCCGACAAAACGGCUGCCGACGCGCACGGCGACGUCGUCGACGGCAAACAAGAGGUUGGGCACGCCUGUAAACAAUAAUGAAUAGACGACCAACCCAACCGGGCGGCGCCAACCGCCGACCACCAUGCGUCUUGCGGUGCCUGAAAGGGUCGAUGCAAACCCAAGGGGCAUGGCGACGCCGCGCGCGAUCGACAUCAACGCCUUGGUCGUAUAGAGGCCGCCACCGGGCCGGACGGCGAUCUCGUCCGUGAGCGUAAAGACGGCAUAGGUGGGCACCAGCGUCGCCACCCAGUAGACGCUCGCCGCCAGGGUCAUCCAUACCGAAACGGCCCAUACGCGAUCGCGCAUCCAUUCGCGCAAAGUCGUCGGGUGGACGGCCACACGCGACGUCGUGCCUAUGCCUAGAUGACCUGAUGAUGAGGACGGCAAGAGCCUCGUGGCCUCGGUCGGCUCGCCUCGGCCGUUGUUAUGGGUCCCUGUCUCUUCCCUCAUUUCAAACUCUUUGGCGACACACAGUUUGCGGGCCUAAAAAUACAAUCUCUCCCGACUGGCGGCACUUGUCCGAGCGCCCGCAAUUUACGCC
rnacentral:lncRNA from 1 species